rnacentral:rRNA from 1 species
UACGAAGGGGGCUAGCGUUGCUCGGAAUCACUGGGCGUAAAGGGUGCGUAGGCGGGUCUUUAAGUCAGGGGUGAAAUCCUGGAGCUCAACUCCAGAACUGCCUUUGAUACUGGCUGUCUUGAGUCCGGGAGAGGUGAGUGGAACUCCUAGUGUAGAGGUGAAAUUCGUAGAUAUUAGGAAGAACACCAGUGGCGAAGGCGGCUCACUGGCCCGGAACUGACGCUGAUGUACGAAAGCGUGGGGAGCAAACAGG